GACCAGUGUAAGAAGAUGACUAAGAUGACUGGACAUCUGAUAGGAUUCAUGAGGACUAUCUGCGGAAGAGAAAAUCAAAUUUGUCUCCGAAUUAGAAGAGGAAGAAGGUCACUGAAUAAUUUGUGUUUGGUCUUGCCAGAGCUGAGAUUAAUGGGAGAAAACCUUUUUAUCAGCAAUUGGGCAGCUCUCUUAUUUUACAUGGUUUAUGAGGUGACAGGCUGAGCUGCUUGAUGAACCUUUCUUUGGGAAAAGAUGAGUCUUCCCCACCCAUGAUUGUCAAUUUGUGAAGCGGUAAUGACGGAACAAAGAAACAGAGUUUCAAAAUCACCAUGACUCCUUGUUUCUUCUGGUACCUCAUCAAGUACAAGAAAGUAACUCUGAAGACUUCAAAUAUGCAACUAACUUCUGAUUUGAUAUGAAUUCCUUCUGCACUUAAAAAAACAUUCAAAAACACUUAAGUGAAAA